UACGGAGGGUGCGAGCGUUGUUCGGAAUCACUGGGCGUAAAGGGCGUGUAGGCGGUCCGCUAAGUCUGAUGUGAAAGCCCGGGGCUCACCCCCGGAAGUGCAUUGGAAACUGGCGGACUCGAGUCCCGGAGAGGAGAGUGGAAUUCCUGGUGUAGCGGUGAAAUGCGUAGAUAUCCGGAGGAACACCAGUGGCGAAGGCGGCUUCCUGGACCAAUACUGACGCUGAGGCGCGAAAGCGUGGGGAGCAAACAGG
rnacentral:rRNA from 1 species